ensembl:snRNA RNU6-539P RNA, U6 small nuclear 539, pseudogene
GGGCUUGCUUCGGCAGCACAUAUACUAAAAUUAGAACGAAACAGAGAUUAGCACGACCCCUGCACAAGGAUGACAUGAAAUUUGUUAAGUGUUCCAUAUUUUU